UAAAUUUUCUAGACAGAAAUCGAAAAUGAAUUUUAUACACGUGCUGUGUAUCGUGAGAAGUAACUCGAGCAAUCAACAGGUUUCUUAUGAGAUUUACAGCAGAUGAAAGUGAAAUCAACUUAGCAAAUGGUGAAGCAAAACCAGAAUUCUCAGACUGGAAAUGGGCAACCCCGGAAGAAGUCAUUGAGCAGGCAGUGGAUUACAAGAGGCCAUCAUAUGAGAAAGUUAUGGAAGCCUUCCAGCCUCACUUCAAUUCAAGAAAAGCUACAAAAUCCUAUUCAUCAAAGUGGUAAUAUAUAUUGUCUGAGGUUUGCUAUUAAUAGCAUAAUGGCAUGUUUGGUCAGAUUUAUUGGUCAGUAUUAAAGAAGGAAAAGAAACUAAGAUUUUGUCGCCUGUCAUGUCUAGUUUUGUCUUAUAUAAUGUUGCCUAAUUGUUUAUGUUUGACGAGUUUGGAAAUGUUGAAUUUCACCUGAAUCUCUGUAAAUAUAUACCAGUAUCGAACUUUCAGGAUUUGAAUGUUAUGUUUAAUAAAUUGUUUCAUUAAGAUA